rnacentral:rRNA from 1 species
UACAGAGGGUGCAAGCGUUGUUCGGAAUCAUUGGGCGUAAAGCGCGUGUAGGUGGUUAGAUAAGUCGAUUGUGAAAUCCCUGGGCUCAACCGAGGAAGUGCAGUCGAAACUAUCUAGCUAGAGGACGGCAGAGGAAGGUGGAAUUCCAAGUGUAGAGGUGAAAUUCGUAGAUAUUUGGAGGAAUACCUGUGGCGAAGGCGGCCUUCUGGACCGGUCCUGACACUGAGACGCGAAAGCGUGGGGAGCAAACAGG